CCCUUAGAUGUUCUGGGCUGCACGUGCGCUACACUGAAGCGUUCAACGAGUAUUCACCUUGCCCGGGAGGGUUGGGUAAUCUUUUGAAAACGCUUCGUGAUGGGGAUAGAUUAUUGCAAUUAUUAAUCUUCAACGAGGAAUUCCUAGUAAGCGCGAGUCAUCAGCUCGUGCUGAUUACGUCCCUGCCCUUUGUACACACCGCCCGUCGCUCCUACCGAUUGAGUGAUCUGGUGAAUAAUUCGGACUGCAGCACUGCUUGGUCUCCAGGCUUUGCAGCGGAAAGUUUAGUGAACCUUAUCACUUAGAGGAAGGAGAAGUCGUANCA
rnacentral:rRNA from 1 species